UAUAUGUGUGUGUGUGUGUGAGUGUGUGCACGGGUCAGGUCCUGGAGCCGCGGCCUCUUUCCCGACGCGGGCAUGGCGAGGGUCACCGACGGUCUGCUGGACAAGUCCAGAUUUUGUGCUGGUGAUCGUACAGGCGCGUGCGCGGCCGCCUCCCUGCCACCGCCUCGCCUCUGCUCUCGACGGAAACGAACAGUGGAGCCAGUUGCCGGGGAGAGGCAGUCGGUCUCUGACGGGGAGCACAGUGUUCAGAAAGGUUACCGACUGAAAACAGACUGUGAAGGAACAAAGUGAAAAAUGAAUACUACUAGAGGAAGGGUCCGGCCAUCCCAGUGACUAAGAGAACCUGUCGGCGCGAAGGACACAGACUCGCGUGCUCCAGGAGUUGUGUUCGCUGCGUUGUUUCUGGUGGGUCGCCGCGCCGCUACCCACGUCGCCGCCCAGCCUCUCGGACUCUACCGUGACACGAGGAACAGCAUUCUUUCCACACACGCCCGACAGUAAGCCCCACCCUCGCCCGCACUUCUCUCACCGCUAAUAGAUGGCAGCCCCUCCGCCCGCCAACGAGCCGGAUCCAUUGCGGGAGGGGAGGUGUUGUCCGUCCGGGAAACGCACCUCGUCUGUCUGAAUCCAAAACAAUUACAGUCCAGGAUAUGAAUGAAAAAAGUGUUCUACAAAUGAUUUCCUUUUACUGAACGUUGUUGCGGUGGUGGUGGGUGUUUUGUUUGUUUGUUUGUUUAUGCUGGUUUUCUUUGCUCUUGAUAGUGUUUGUCUUUUGUUUUAUUCGUGUGUGGUGAGUUUUUAGUGUUUAUAAUUAAGUGACAUUGGAAAGAUAAAUGACGUGUUGUUCUUGUUUAUUUGUAUUCUGGAUGGAGAUAUUGAGUUUUAUUUUGGUUUUCUUUUAAUGAUGUUUAUAAUUGUGUGUUUAAUUUUUUGUUGAGGGUUUUAAGUGUUGAUAAUUACGUGACAUUCGAAAGCUAAAUGAUGUGUUCUUCAUAUUUAAUUAUUUUCUGCCUUGAGAUAUCGAUUUUUGUUUUGGAUUUCUUUCGUUGUUAUUCAUUUAUGUGUUUCUAAUUAUUUUUGUUGUGGUUUUAGUGUUGAUAAUUACAUGACAUUCGAAAGCUAAAUGACAUGUUCCUCUUGUUUAUUUGUAUUCUGGCUGGACAUAUUGGUUUCUUUUACUGAUGUUUAUGUUUCUGUGUUUAAUUUUUUGUUGAGGUUUAGUAUUGAUAAUCACGUGAUAUUGGAAAGCUAAAUGAUGUGUUGUUCUUGUAUAUUAAUUUUCUGCCUUGAGAUAUCGAUUUUUUUAGUUAUAUUUAUUUAUGCAUUUUUAUUAUUUGAUGUGGUUUUUAGUGUUGAUAAUUACGUGACAUUGGAAAGGUUAAUGACAUGUUGUUCUUGUUUAUUUGUUUUUCUUUUGCUGUUAUUUGUGUUUGUGUGUUUAAUUAUUUGUUGUUUUUUUUAGUAUUGAUAAUUAUGUGA